rnacentral:sRNA from 1 species
CUCACACGGCUGCAGCCGGCGCCGCUGCCACUCCCGGGAGCAUGAAGGACCGAACCCAGGAGCUCCGCACGGCCAAGGACAGCGAUGAUGAUGAUGAUGUCGCUGUCACCGUGGACCGAGACCGCUUCAUGGAUGAGUUCUUUGAGCAGGUGGAGGAGAUUCGAGGCUUCAUUGACAAGAUCGCAGAGAACGUGGAGGAGGUGAAGCGGAAGCACAGUGCCAUCCUGGCAUCCCCCAACCCCGAUGAGAAGACGAAGGAGGAGCUGGAAGAACUCAUGUCCGACAUAAAGAAGACAGCAAACAAAGUUCGUUCCAAGUUAAAGAGCAUCGAGCAGUCCAUCGAGCAAGAGGAAGGCCUGAACCGCUCCUCCGCUGACCUGAGGAUCCGGAAGACACAGGUGCGGCCACGGAGUCUAGGAUGGGCGGGCACCUGAGUCUCUGGGUCGGUCCCCGCAGGGCCUGACCCCUGCACCUCCAUCUCGGGCCCCCAGCACUCCACGCUGUCCAGAAAGUUUGUGGAGGUCAUGUCGGAGUACAACGCCACGCAGUCCGACUACCGCGAGCGCUG